UACGUAGGGGGCAAGCGUUGUCCGGAUUUAUUGGGCGUAAAGCGCACGCAGGCGGUCUUUUAAGUUUCGAGUGACAGGUGGUGGCUUAACUGCCACAGGCCUUGGAAAACUGGAAGACUUGAGGACGAGAGAGGGACGCGGAAUUCCAGGUGGAGCGGUGAAAUGCGUAGAGAUCUGGAAGAACACCAAAGGCGAAGGCAGCGUCCUGGCUCGUAACUGACGCUCAUGUGCGAAAGCCAGGGGAGCGAACGGG
rnacentral:rRNA from 1 species